rnacentral:rRNA from 1 species
AAUCAACGCUGGCGGCGUGCCUCAGACAUGCAAGUCGAACGCGAAAGGUUCCUUCGGGGACCGAGUAGAGUGGCGCACGGGUGAGUAACACGUAGGUAAUUUGCCUUUGGGUGGGGAAUAACUCAGGGAAACUUGAGCUAAUACCGCAUAAUGCAGCGGCUCGACAUCGAGACAGUUGUUAAAGCGGGGAUUCGCAAGAACCUCGCGCCUAAAGAGAAGCCUGCGGCAGAUAGCUAGUUGGUAAGGUAAUGGCUUACCAAGGCGACGAUCUGUAACGGCCUGAGAGGGCGGUCGGUCACACUGACACUGACAUACGGGUCAGACUCCUACGGGAGGCAGCAGUCGGGAAUUUUGGGCAAUGGGCGAAAGCCUGACCCAGCAA